rnacentral:rRNA from 1 species
GAUGAACGCUAGCUACAGGCUUAACACAUGCAAGUCGAGGGGUAACGAGAGGAAAGCUUGCUUUCCUUGUUGACGACCGGCGCACGGGUGAGUAACGCGUAUCCAACCUGCCCCCAACUAGGGAAUAACCUUGCGAAAGUAAGACUAAUACCCUAUAAUUUCCUCAGAUGUCAUCUGACGAGGAAUAAAGAUUUAUCGGUUGUGGAUGGGGAUGCGUCUGAUUAGCUUGUUGGCGGGGUAACGGCCCACCAAGCAACGAUCAGUAGGGGUUCUGAGAGGAAGGUCCCACACAUUGGAACUGAGACACGGUCCAAACUCCUACGGGAGGCAGCAGUGAGGAAUAUUGGUCAAUGGGCGGAAGCCUGAACCAGCCAAGUAGCGUGCAGGAUGACGGCCCUAUGGGUUGUAAACUGCUUUUAUACAGGAAUAAAGUUAGCCACGUGUGGUUAUUUGUAGGUACUGUAUGAAUAAGGACCGGCUAAUUCCGUGCCAGCAGCCGCCGUAA